UACGGAGGAUGCAAGCGUUAUCCGGAUUCAUUGGGUUUAAAGGGUGCGUAGGCGGACUAUUAAGUCAGUGGUGAAAGCCUGCAGCUUAACUGCAGAACUGCCAUUGAUACUGAUAGUCUUGAGUUUGGUUAAGGUAGGCGGAAUGUGUAAUGUAGCGGUGAAAUGCUUAGAUAUUACACAGAACACCGAUUGCGAAGGCAGCUUGCUGGGUCAUUACUGACGCUGAUGCACGAAAGCGUGGGGAUCAAACA
rnacentral:rRNA from 1 species